rnacentral:rRNA from 1 species
GACGAACGCUGGCGGCGUGCCUAAUACAUGCAAGUCGAGCGCAGGAAACUGACGGAACUCUUCGGAGGGAAGGCAGCGGAAUGAGCGGCGGACGGGUGAGUAACACGUAAGGAACCUGCCUCAAGGAUUGGGAUAACUCCGAGAAAUCGGAGCUAAUACCGGAUAGUUCAACGGACCGCAUGGUCCGCUGGUGAAAGGCGCUUCGGCGUCACCUUGAGAUGGCCUUGCGGUGCAUUAGCUAGGUGGUGGGGUAACGGCCCACCAAGGCGACGAUGCAUAGCCGACCUGAGAGGGUGAUCGGCCACACUGGGACUGAGACACGGCCCAGACUCCUACGGGAGGCAGCAGUAGGGAAUCUUCCACAAUGGACGAAAGUCUGAUGGAGCAACGCCGCGUGAGUGAUGAAGGUUUUCGGAUCGUAAAACUCUGUUGUAAGGGAAGAACACGUACGAGAGGAAAUGCUCGUACCUUGACGGUACCUUACGAGAAAGCCACGGCUAACUACGUGCCAGCCGCCGCGGUAA